GAGUUAAUACUCACUUCAGCAGCAUAUAUUGGAAUGAUGCAGAGAUUAGCAUAGUGCCUGCACAAGGAGCAAAUGCAAAUUUGUGAAAUGUGUCCCUUUUUU